AACGAACGCUGGCGGCAGGCUUAACACAUGCAAGUCGAGCGCCCCGCAAGGGGAGCGGCAGACGGGUGAGUAACGCGUGGGAAUCUACCGUACCCUACGGAAUAACGCAUGGAAACGUGUGCUAAUACCGUAUACGCCCUACGGGGGAAAGAUUUAUCGGGGUAUGAUGAGCCCGCGUUGGAUUAGCUAGUUGGUGGGGUAAAGGCCUACCAAGGCGACGAUCCAUAGCUGGUCUGAGAGGAUGAUCAGCCACAUUGGGACUGAGACACGGCCCAAACUCCUACGGGAGGCAGCAGUGGGGAAUAUUGGACAAUGGGCGCAAGCCUGAUCCAGCCAUGCCGCGUGAGUGAUGAAGGCCUUAGGGUUGUAAAGCUCUUUCACCGGUGAAGAUAAUGACGGUAACCGGAGAAGAAGCCCCGGCUAACUUCGUGCCAGCCGCCGCAGUAAAAC
rnacentral:rRNA from 1 species